rnacentral:lncRNA from 1 species
CUACAAAGUUCAUAGCAGAACAACCUGGUGGCAAUGGCUCAUAUCAGUUUCACAACAAACUCCUUGUAAACAUUACACAUGCAAUCAGGAAAAUCAACAUGAUAACAGAAGAUUAAUCUCUUUCAGUAUGAUAAUAACGAUCACGAAUAACAGCCAAUUUAUUUACUAACUGUUAACAUAACAUUAGAAUCUUUUAGAAGCUCAGUUCAAACAGAACCCUCUUUUUUAUGGUUCUCCACCAUAUUUCUAACACCUCUAACUAACCCACAAAACCUGUAUUUAAGCGACAUAAUUUCAAACGCAGCCGCCGUUUCUCGAAGCCAACAGCAAACACAUUAGCAACAACACAUUCAACCGGCAACACCUACUAACUUGCAGAGAUUAAUAAGCAUAACAGUAAGAAUAAUUCCUCAUAGUUGAACAAAAUUUCCAAUUAAUAAGAAAUUCUGCACUAACAGUUAAGUAAGACAAUAUAAUGAGACUUAAGAUUAACAUUAGCUUAUAAUGGAACUGAUUUUCAUUCUUGAUAGCUAGCACUUCUUCACACCUAGAAGUUCAUGGCAGUAGCAAUAGUUGAGCUUUGCAAAUAACCGAAGUGUUUCUUUUCACAAAUUUUUACUACAGUAAAACCAAGUAAUUAGCAAAGGCUGUAAAGUUAAAAAAAUAACCCAAAAGAGAAUUAAGACAAAAUUAGAGGAAGAAAGCUAAAUUCAUAUUACCGUUUCCGAUUUAACAUCAAGUAGGGCAAUCCAAACUGAGCAUACCGAAAGGAUUUCGCAGAGACCCUUUUUUGAUCUCCAGAGGCCAAUCUGAACCCUAAUUGUUGAGUAUAAAAGGUGAGAGAGGAAACGAGAAGAUGGACGAAAAAAUCUGGAAAGGCAAAGAAACCCUAAAAUUUUCCAAACAAAACCUGAUUUUGGUGACGGCGUGAAAGAACCUAGCGAGGAGAAGAAGAUACAAGCUCACCACCGCCGCCAAAUCAUCGCCAAAGGUGAGUUUUCUUACUGGAUCUUCUUUCGAAACCAUUGGUUUUCGCGUUUAGAGUGAGAUUGGGAGUGGUGUAUCGUGAGGUUAGUGGAAGCCGAUUGAGAGUUAACGAGAGAUUGAGAGUUUAAAGGAUGUCGAGAGUGAGAGCCGUUUUGCGUGAGGACGAUGAAUGAGUUUCUGGUUUCUCUGGUACAGAAAUAUUGCUAUUGUGUUUUUUUUUUUAUUAUUAUUAAUAUAUGUUUUCUUCUGGGUUGAAUUUUUAUAUACUAUAUAAAUAUCUCACUGUUAACAUUAGUUUUAUA